ACACCAGAGAGAGAGAGGCACAAGGCAAAUUCAAGUACAUACAGAGGUGUUAAGCUAUCUCUAUGGGGAACAGCUGUGUAGGCCGUGUAAGGAGUGAAUAGCUGGUGAGGGGCAGCUAGUGAAGUAGGGGUGCUAUGUUUUUUUGUUCGUGAACACAAAGAGAGAGUUUGAGUAACUUUGUUGAGGGGGCUGUAAGCAGGGGUCAGCUGAUGACCGGGGCUAUACGCGUGGUCAAACUAUUACUCAAAGCACUGAUGGUUCACGGGUUUGGUCACUAUGACAAAACUGAAAUAAAA